GACGAACGCUGGCGGCGUGCUUAACACAUGCAAGUCGAACGGAAAGACCCUGCUUUUGUGUUGUGCUCGAGUGGCGAACGGGUGAGUAACACGUGAGUAACCUGCCCUUGACUUUGGGAUAACUUCUGGAAACUGCGGCUAAUACCGGAUAGGAGCUCCUGCUGCAUGGUGGGGGUUGGGAAGGUUCGGCGGUUGGGGAUGGACUCGCGGCUUAUCAGCUUGUUGGUGGGGUAGUGGCUUACCAAGGCUUUGACGGGUAGCCGGCCUGAGAGGGUGACCGGCCACACUGGGACUGAGACACGGCCCAGACUCCUACGGGAGGCAGCAGUGGGGAAUAUUGCACAAUGGGCGGAAGCCUGAUGCAGCAACGCCGCGUGCGGGAUGACGGCCUUCGGGUUGUAAACCGCUUUCGGCAGGGAAGAAGCGAGAGUGACGGUAAUGGGUAAAGAAGCACCGGCUAACUACGUG
rnacentral:rRNA from 1 species